rnacentral:lncRNA from 1 species
AAAAUGCAGUUUUGCUGUUGAAACGCACGCAUGCGAGACAGAAGACAGAGUUUUGAAAUCGCAAUAAAGUGUGUAAGAAGUGGUCGCGAAUCGCAAAACGGUGUUUCUGAGCUUUGUGAGACGGCAAUUAAAAAGUUAGGGUUCCAAAGGGACAAUGAUAGUUAAGGUAGAGGGAGCGAUUGCAGAUUCUCGGCAGCGCGAGCGGUUGCAGAGCGGAAAGCCAUGAAGCAAGGUUAGAUUGAAUAGCGUUAGUUGACAAAUCAUCAGUUUUCGAUGAACCCAGAUUUGCAAUUAAAUCGGAGCCGUCGUUCUAGGGAGUAACAGAGGAAGAGGAAAAAUGUUUAAUUGGGGAACUGUAUGCAUGAGUUGAAUAUUUUAGCAUGAAACUAGGAACUAGCCAAGUGUAGGACUGUUUAUUGAAACAUCUGAUGGAGAACAUACGGUUGUGGGGGAGACAAUGAAUAGUGAUUUGUAAGAGAUGCCUAUACUAUAUGAAUAAAUUAAAUAGUAUACUUAUCCGGUAACACUUGAAAUAGGUUUUAUUUUUAGGUGAGCUCUGAAAUAUAGUCAUUUGCACUUCUGUUAUUGUGUUGUUUGAUGUGCAAGGGUUAUUAGCCUAUAUGUGAAAUGGUAGGAGUAUAUUAGAAAAUUUUGUGUUGUGAUUACAUUUAUGGUAAGGGUAGAUGUAACAUAACAUCGUCUAUAAUACUCGUUUUAAGUAUGGUGGAAAGUGACAUAUGAUUCAAAGGUUUGCUUAUUAUAUAUGGUAGAAGUGCAUAGUAUAGUUAUACUAAAUUUAUCCAAAUAGGUGAAAUGGGGCAAAGAACUUCGGCCUUCAGCCAUGGUUUUGAUUUAGGUAAUUUGUUGUAUGUUGUGAAUGCACUUGCUGUGGGGUAGCAAGUGCCAUAUACCGUGAAGUCAUUCUUAUACUUUAUGGCUGCCGUUUAUAGUCUAGUUACCCGAUUUUCCCACCCCCCCCCUCCCAAAAAUAUCAUCUAGUUAAUGGAGACCAAUAGCAAUGGUAUUUAUAAUAUAGUAUUACCGUUCACAUAUGUGUGAACAAACACGAAACUGAAGUCUAUUCUAUGAUGGAUAGGUAAAUAGAAUAACUGCCAAUAGUCACCCAUUUGUUUUUAGAUUCACUGAUGUUGCUUAUAUUUUCCAGGACCAUCGUGUGUUGCAUCUCUUGUGCUCCUAUAAAUGAAUGCUAAACAGUCCCUGAAUCAUGUGCGCAUCUGACGGAAGAGGCACUAGCAAUUGCAGCAAGGACAUAUGAUGUUGAAUUCUUCGCGACAUUCCACCCCAAACAACUCCCAUAAAACCUCGGGUGCUUCGACCCCCUAUGUUUUACUUAUGUACUAAGCGGCUAUUAAGAUUAUGACUUAUUUAUAUGUUUCCAUUAACUGUAUAAUUGUUCAAUCGCCAGACUAAUAAUUGUCCACC